UGAUGCUGCAAAUGCAUUACAAAACAUAGAGAUAGAGAUAUUUAGAGACAGAUGGCACGGGAGCCUCUGUCUCUAUUAUUUCUGUCGCUUUGGCUCACUGUAUUAUUGCCAUCUACACCACCGUGUCUUGAGAUUUGUGUUUCAUGAGAUUCGUAACGUACCAACUCUCAACUGUUUUCCUCCUCCUAUAUAAAAAGGAGGAGUUUUUCGGAGGUUUUUGGCCAAUUUGGGACGAGUUUGCCCCUCGAUUGCAAACAGUGCUGCUUUGGGCACUUGGGCAGUUCGGUCUUUUCCGCUGGUGUGCUAGGUGGCGUGCUGCGGGGACUCCAUGGGAUGUGCGCUGCAUCUGCGCCGUUCGUUUGCUCCCGAGGUUCUGGUGCCUUUAUUAUCUGGUGUGUAUUAGAUAGAGAUAAGAGGUUCUGGUGCCUUUAUUAUCUGGUGUGUAUUAGAUAGAGAUAGACAACAUACCAGCAGGUUGAGCUUCGGUUUUGGGCUUCGAGACUCUUCUGCACUGUGCUUCAGAAUGGUGGUCCGUGCUCCGGUCCUCCGCUGGGAUAUUAUUAGGAACCCUUCUGUCAUAUCUAAAAGAAGGGCGCUUUAUUAUCUGGAAACUGCUAAAGGUGAACAAGUGGUUGCUGCUCUUCAAGUACGUGAUGAAAACAAUUGAUUGGUUUAUGAACCAUUUCCCCAGUUUCUCGAGUACUAUCAGGGCCUUUUGAAUUUGGGUGAUGUUGCUGUGUGGAGUUAUGGUUUCCAGCUGAAUGCACGGUUAGAUGAUAUUGUGUACCAUUCGUUUGUGCGGUAUAGUGAGGAAGCUGAUGACCAGUGUUGGCAUAUGAAAUUUUUUUCCUUGCCUGUUAUUCCUAAGAGGUUGCCCUGUUCUCUUCGCCACCACUUCAAGGUAGAUGGUUCCAGACUUGGGUUAUCCUCAGGCAUGGAUUGAAAGCAUGGUCAGUUGAAAUUGUUAAUGAUGAGUUCCGCAAUGGUUGGGAUGUUUUCCGUGAGGCACAUGGCUUAAAAGGAGACCGCAAGGUUGUUUUGCAUGUGAGCGUAAGUGGGUCUUUCACACUAUUAUGUUUGAUACACAUGGUCGUGAGCUUAUGUUUGAUUGGUCAGGUCCAAAUGCUCGCUGGCAAGAUUUGCCACCUCUGAUAGGGUAGCACUGCAGUAUUUCUAGCUAAAUAUAUUAUUCGAUCAAAUAUUGUUCCCUUUUCCUUUUGUUUGUUCCUAUUCUCAAAUUUUUCUGUAGCUUUGUGCGUUGUUUCAUCUUUAUGGCAGCCACAGUUGCUGCCAUAGUGCCAUUACAAACCAAAUUUAAAUGAAAAUAGUUUCAGACAAACAAGAGCAGUAGAGUAUUGGGAACUCUAAAAAACAGAGCACAUACUAUGGUAAAUAAAUGAAACCCGUACUUCUUAAUUCUUAUGUAUAUAUAUAACAGGGAUUCGGGGUGGGGUGGGCUGGGGAUCGGGGCGGGGACUUACACAUAUCCACCCUUGCCCGUUCCUCACUUUUUGACCAAAAAAAUUUCACGUGCACAAUCUCCUUCUUCAGUACUUUUUGUCCAUAUGUGUAUAACCAUCGAUAACUUCCUUCCAGUUGUGCCAAACAGCAUCUGUAAAUAACCCUUUUCCUAGCCAAAAAGUAAUGGCAUAUGUAAAUAGCACUUUUGCUGGCCAAAAAUGUAGACUCUUUUGCUAGCCAAAAACUAUUGGCAUCUGUAAGUAAUCCUUUUGCUAGCCAAAAAUCUAAAGUAAUAGUUGAAUGACAUAUAUUGUUGGCUAUGUUGCAAUUUUCAUAUAUUGUUGCUUAUCAUGUUUAAAAAACUUAACCAAAAGACACAUAAUCCAGUUUUAGUGUGGUUUCAAUACAGUUUGUGGUGCAAUUUCAAUGCAGGUUUUCGUACAGUUCGAACACUAUUUUAGUACACAUUGCUAUAAAAGUCCCACUCUUGCUAUGUCUGUGGGGCUGUGUGUGUCCAAAUUUCGGUUUUAGUUGAGAUUGGAGGCUGUUUUAGUACACUUUUUCUUUGUAAUUUUACUGCAGUUUAUGUGCAAACAAUGAUUGUCUCAGCCCACAAAUAGCCUACUUCCAGUUUUCUGCUCUGUAGUUGCAUAAAUAUUGCUUUGACAAGUUGUCAAUAACUGCAUUUAUUAACAAUAGUGCAAUGAUCAUUCUCUGAACUGACAAAUGGCCUACUUCCAAAUUUCAGCUGUGUUUUCUGUGUAUGUGUGUGUUGAGCCUCCUAACCGUGUGCAAUGUUGGACACAGUUUAACACUUCACAAAAUGAACUUGACAAGUUAUAUGUAUACUAUGUGCUAUACAGAGCUAUUCUUGCCUUGCAUUAUCUGUUAUUACUGCUCCUGUCCAAGUCCAAGAUCAGAUCCUUACAAUUGUGUUUUUCAGCCUCGGGAUUUCUUCUUUCUUGUUUGAUAUCAAAAUGGCGCCACGGUCGGUUUGUGAUUCAAAUACCUUAACCAUGUAGCUACUUGACUUUAGUGCUGCUAUGAAAGAGCUUAAUCCAAGAAAAGCUGUUAGAUCAUAAGAAGGCAGGUAGGUAAGAAUAAGAAGUUUAGAGGACUGAAAGGGUUUAGGAGGGACUAAAGCACAGCUAGCUAACUAUAUUGUAUUCCAAUAUAACAAUCUAACUAGGGUUGUCAAAUCUUUGACUUCUGCAAGAGUAAUGUGACAUCUCUAACUUCGUCUAUAAGAGAAGAGUACAGAGUAGCUGCAAAGUUUAACUCAACUGAAGGCAUUGCCGAGACUAAAAGCACUAAAAGUAAGGUAACCGAGGUUGCUAGCUUAACUUCACCUCCACGGCACGGAGGUCAUCCAGUUAGUUUAGGAGACAAGCUCUUGGGGUGGCGAGGAAUAGGAAAUGAAAAUGAAUCAGUCCUGUAGAAAACUAUGUAACUGGUACCAAGACUUUACUUCUAAUGCAGGUAAGCAGAAUCUAACUCGAAAAUCUUUGUGGAGCUAACAUUGGCCCAAUGGCUACAAGUUCCAUUUCAAAUGGAUUGACUAAGAGGAUACUUGCUGUAGCUGGAUUGGUUUAACUCCUUCCUGCCUUGGCCUGGCCAGUUUAGUUUAUUAGUUCGUACUGCUAGGCCACGUUCUCUUUCUUUUCUUCUCCUUUUCCUGCUUAGGAGUUCUUAUUCUAAUACAUACCCACCAGGCUUAGCUGACUAAAGAAUGAACAUUUAACAUUCCACAGACGAAGUGAAUGGACAACUGCUUAAUAACCAACUGCUUAGUCGUAUGAUGAAUGAACAACUUUCUUUCAACUUGGUCCAUUUUUUUUUUUUUUGAUCCGAAGCUUGGUCCAUUUUUUUUUUUUUUGAUCCGAAGCUUGGCCCAUUUUUUUUCCAAAGAAAGAGUCUCUUCCCAAAGAGCUCCAUAAAUAACUCUUUUCCUAGCCAAAAAUCUAGACUCUUUUGCUAUCCAAAAACUAUUAGCAUCUGUAAAUAACCCUUUUCCUAGCCAAAAAUGUAGAGUAAUAGUUGAAUGACAUAUAUUGUUGGCUAUGUUGCAAAUUUCAUAUAUUGUUGCUUAUCAUGUUUAAAAAAUUGAGCCAAAAGGCACAUAGUGCAGUUUAAGUCCACUUUCAAUACAGUUUCUGGUGCAAUUUCAAUGCAGUUUUUGAUACAGUUCAAAUGCAAUUUUAGUGCACAUUGCUAUAAAAGUACAACUCUUGCUAUGUCUGUGUGGCUGUGUGUGUCCAAACUUCAGUUUUAGUCAAGAUUAGAGACUGUUUUAGUGCACUUUUUCGUUCUAAUUUUGCUGCAAUUUAUGUGCCAACAAUGAUUGUCUCAGCCCACAAAUAGCCUACUUCCAGUUUUUCACAUCUGUAGUUGUAUAAAUAUUGCUUUGGCAGGUUUUAAAUAACUACAUUCAUUAACGAUGGGGCAUUGAUCAUUCUCUCAAUCCACAAAUAGACUACUUCCAGAUUUCAGCUCUAUUUCUGUAUGUGUGUAUUGACCCUCCUAACCGUGUGCAAUGUUGGACACAAUUUAGCACUUCACAAAAUGAACUUGGGAAGUUAAAUGUAUGCUAUGUGCUACAAGAGCUAUUCUUGCCUCGCAUUGUCUGUUGUUACUGCUCCUGUCCAAAUCCAAUAUUAGAUCUUUAAAAUUGUAUUUUUCAGCCUUGUGAAUGUCCAGAUUUUCUAUUUUUCAUGUGCUAUAUCCUGCUGCUCCUCUUGGUGUCCAACCUAGCAUCCAAUCGGCCACUUUUGCAGAAUUAUUUGGCUAUGGUGACUAUUGCCCAAAAAAACUAUUGCCCCCAAACAUAACUUUUUUCCUUCAACGGGCAUGGCAUUCGUGCCUUGCACGAAUGGAAAACCUAGUAGAGACAAACAAAGAAAUCUUUUCGGAAAUAUUUUGAUGCGGUGAAUAUUGAUUGGUGAUCAUAAGCAAAGUCAAUCUUUCGAGAAAUACAAUAAAACAUUUUUCUUGGUUUCCAGUUAGAGCCUGAGAUUUUAUUUGUUUAACGUUAGUUAAUUUGGUGAGUGCAGCUGAAGGAAACAAAAUAUACAAGGUUGUGUAGCUCAAAGAAGAUCUUGACAGUCAAUGGAUUGUUUCCAGGGCCUACUUUGUAUGUCCGAAGAGGUGAUAGGUUGAUUGUUAACGUUCAAAACCAAAGGAAAUACAAUGUCAUCAUUCAUUGAUA